UUGCGCUUCUUGAAAACAAGGGAGCAGGGAAACUCUCACAAGAACUCAGAUCGAUAGGGAGGUGAAAACAACAAAGGCUUAUUAAGUAACAAAGUAGCUACACUACGCGCGUUGUGCGAAGAGUGAAAAAUAUUCGUCUGAAAAUGGUGUGACUGAUCGUGAACGGUUGCCGCUACGUGGCGAGGAAGAUCAGAGCUGCCGUCAGGGGGGAGGAGCAGCCUGAGAAGCCCAUCAAAUCGGCAUGUAGCGCAAGCAAAGCGUGGAAGGGGGAGGGCUCCCGGCGUGAGCACAGUGUUCAGGACCCCAUGUUCGAGCCCAAGCCUGAAGGAGCUGCUCCAGCCCAGAGCGUGGAGGAGUGCAGGUCCUGAGGGUAGAGCAGAGGGCGACUGACGUGGGGGCGAGGAGAGGACUGCAGCCUAACCAGGCUCUGCCCAUCACAGCCAUGGCCUUUCAGCCAGAGAGAGCCACCCUCUGUUAACUUUCCAGUCUCUUUAAAAUCACUGAAUCGGCCAGGACCAAAAGUCAUCACCCCCAGACAAGUCAAAAUAUAAUUUCCAUUAAAAAAUGUGAAAAUGAUUAAAUUCUUACCUUCCCCUUUUCCUCCAUUCCUUAUCUCCAUCUCCUUCUUUGUCUCUCCCUCUCUCUUUCCUUUCCCCUUCCAUAUAUCUCUCCUCCCCUCUCCCUCCCACCCUUGCUCUCUCUGCCCCUCUGCUCCUCCCCCACUAAUUUGCCCUCUGCUCUCUCUCUCUCCCUGGGCUCAGAAACAGGACGUGGUUUAACAGCAAGGCAUGUGAAGGCCUGGGCAGAACUUCUCCACAGUGGGAAAUGUCCAAGCCUGAAGACAACCCUUUGGGUCCUUGCUGUUGUCAUUGUCCUUUGUUAUUAAUUCUAUGUGUAGCUAUUAUGAUUUGUAAUGAUCCUCAAUAAAUAAACUGGACUUUAAUGCGUA